AGGGCACCACCAGGAGUGGAGCCUGCGGCUUAAUUUGACUCAACACGGGAAGACUUACCCGGCCCGGACACUGGAAGGAUUGACAGAUUGAGAGCUCUUUCUUGAUUCAGUGGGUGGUGGUGCAUGGCCGUUCUUAGUUGGUGGAGCGAUUUGUCUGGUUAAUUCCGAUAACGAACGAGACUCUAGCCUACUAAAUAGACCAGAGGCUUCUUAAAACACGUCUCUGGCUGCUUCUUAGAGGGACAGGCGGCGAUUCAGCCGCACGAAACAGAGCAAUAACAGGUCUGUGAUGCCCUUAGAUGUCCGGGGCCGCACGCGCGCUACACUGAAGUGAUCAGCGUGCUUUUUGUACCCUGCUCUGCCAAGAGUGGGUAACCCAAUGAACCUUCUUCGUGAUUGGGAUAGGGGAUUGUAAUUAUUCCCCUUGAACGAGGAAUUCCCAGUAAGCGCGAGUCAUAAGCUCGCGUUGAUUACGUCCCUGCCCUUUGUACACACCGCCCGUCGCUACUACCGAUUGAA
rnacentral:rRNA from 1 species